rnacentral:lncRNA from 1 species
CGCGAGGCUGGCAGACCUGGCUCCCUCUUACCACCCUGCUGCUCCUCCGUGUGCUGCACGGUGCUUGGAGUUCGACCUGGCCUUUUAGAUGUUUCUGGAGCCGGACUGACCGGAAGAGGAGGCGUGGUUGCAGAGAGCCGGCAGAAGGAGCCAGGCUCCCUGGCAGCAUAUAGAGAGGCGGUGGGGCCAAGGGCAGCCUUCACGGGACAUUCAACAGCAAAGCCAAGUGCUGCUCCUUGGCAGUUGCAGGCGCAGUCAGGACCCGCCCCCACUUCUGAUCAGAAACCAGGGAGACGGUGCCCUGUGGCUUGAGGACAACUGGUCGGCUCCCCCAAGGUGAAAGUCAGCCCCUGACCCUCCCAGCCUAUUGCCUUCCGCCUGGUGCUCUUCCACAGGCAGUUCUGCGGUGCAGCUUUGGCCACACUUUGAACUGGUCUCAGGAGAGAUGAACCACAAGCUUCACACUUGGCGCUGCCCCAUGGACCAGGGCCACCACCUUUGGUCUAGGCGCCCUGGGCCACAAGGGAACCUGGGUGGAGAGGAGAGUGCAGGAAGUAUUCUGCAAGAAAGGCUUGCAUUCAAGGAGACACUAUGUCUUCCAACCAAUGCCCAUUGACCAUGCAGUGAAACAAAGAGGCAUGAUCACUGCAACAAGGAACCUCUCACAUGUGCUGCCUGUGAAUGUGCAUCAUGCAACAAAGGACCUAAAAUCCUAGGUUAGAUCAGGUGAGUAUCUUCGAGUCCCAGAGAAUCUGAGACAGUCCCUGCCCUUGGACCCUCUGCACAUCAAGGCAGGCAGAGUCUGGCUGCUUCACUUGAAAUGCAAGUCUCCCAAAGCAUGGCCCCACUUAAUCUUCUCCCUAAAGCCUGCAUCAGACCUUUAGAGGACCUAUUCUCUGGUACACUUUUGGUGUAUUCACUAUAUUCGCUUCUGUCUUCCACAGAAGUCAGUAUACGACGCUAUUAAAAACCUGACCCAAGAACUUCUGUAUGACGUGGGCAUGGACAGAAAUUUCUUUUUUUAAAAACCCAUAAGAAAAGUGUAAGGAAGUCCAACUUUGUUCUGGUUUUCCUUGUGUCUUCUUGAUGCUGUUUUUAGAAGAUCAAAUAAUAAAUUCUUUUUUUUUUUACUUUUUUUUUUUUUU